rnacentral:lncRNA from 1 species
GUCAUGCUUCUAUUGCUGUCAGACCAUCAACCACAAGCAAGAAGAAGAAGGAAAGAAGAAAAAAAAAAGAAAAGAGAGUUCUCUCUCCUUUCACUCAUGUCUCUCUCUAUCCUAUCUCUCUCUCUAAGCUAACCUAGGACCCAGUUCAAAGUCAUGUUCCCUUGGCUAUGGACUUCAGUUGACCUAAAGAAGCAUGAGACCAUCAUAGUGUCUGAGCAACCUGUCGGACCAAUCACCAUGGCC